rnacentral:rRNA from 1 species
AUUGAACGCUGGCGGCAGGCUUAACACAUGCAAGUCGAGCGGGGUGAUGGUGCUUGCACUAUCACUUAGCGGCGGACGGGUGAGUAAUGCUUAGGAAUCUGCCUAUUAGUGGGGGACAACAUCUCGAAAGGGAUGCUAAUACCGCAUACGUCCUACGGGAGAAAGCAGGGGAUCUUUAUGACCUUGCGCUAAUAGAUGAGCCUAAGUUGGAUUAGCUAGUUGGGGGGGUAAAGGCCUACCAAGGCGGCGAUCUGUAGCGGGUCUGAGAGGAUGAUCCGCCACACUGGGACUGAGACACGGCCCAGACUCCUAUGGGAGGCAGCAGUGGGGAAUAUUGGACAAUGGGGGGAACCCUGAUCCAGCCAUGCCGCGUGUGUGAAGAAGGCCUUAUGGUUGUAAAGCACUUUAAGCGAGGAGGAGGCUCUUUUGGUUAAUACCCAGAAUGAGUGGACGUUACUCGCAGAAUAAGCACCGGCUAACUCUGUGCCAGCCGCCGCAGUAA